GAAAUGCGAUAAGUAGUGUGAAUUGCAGAAUUCAGUGAAUCAUCGAAUCUUUGCACGCACAUUGCGCCCCUUGGUAUUCCAUGGGGCAUGCCUGUUCGAGCGUCAUUUGUACCCUCAAGCUUUGCUUGGUGAUGGGAGUCUUGUCCUCUUCUGGAUGACUCGCCACAAAACAAUUGGCAGCCGGCAUAUUGGUAUCGGAGCGCAGCACAAGUCGCACUUUGUUCCAUGAAUGUUGGCAUCCAUCAAGACCAUUUUUUUCACUCAUGACCUCGGAUCAGGUAGGGAUACCCGCUGAACUUAC
rnacentral:misc_RNA from 1 species